GACGAACGCUGGCGGCGUGCUUAACACAUGCAAGUCGAACGGAAAGGCCCUGCUUGCAGGGUGCUCGAGUGGCGAACGGGUGAGUAACACGUGGGUGAUCUGCCCCUUAUUUUGGGAUAAGCCUGGGAAACUGGGUCUAAUACUGGAUAGGACCAUGCUGUAGGUGGUGUGGUGGAAAGAUUAGUUUCGGUAAGGGAUGAGCUCGCGGCCUAUCAGCUUGUUGGUGGGGUAAUGGCCUACCAAGGCGUCGACGGGUAGCCGGCCUGAGAGGGUGGACGGCCACAUUGGGACUGAGAUACGGCCCAGACUCCUACGGGAGGCAGCAGUGGGGAAGAUUGCACAAUGGGCGCAAGCCUGAUGCAGCGACGCCGCGUGGGGGAUGACGGCCUUCGGGUUGUAAACUCCUUUCAGCCAUGACGAAGCCCUUGUGGUGACGGUAGUGGUAGAAGAAGCACCGGCUAACUACGUG
rnacentral:rRNA from 1 species